UACAGAGGUCCCGAGCGUUGUUCGGAUUCACUGGGCGUAAAGGGUGCGUAGGUGGCCUGAAAAGUUUGAUGUGAAAGCUCAGGGCUUAACCCUGAAAUGGCAUUGAAUACUGUCGGGCUGGAGGUUUGGAGGGGGGACUGGAAUUCUUGGUGUAGCAGUGAAAUGCGUUGAUAUCGAUAGGAACUCCGGUGGCGAAGGCGGCAUACUGGACCACUACUGACGCUGAUGCGCGAAAGCCAGGGGAGCAAACGGG
rnacentral:rRNA from 1 species